GACGGAGGGUGCUAGCGUUGUUCGGAAUGACUGGGCGUAAAGGGCGCGUAGGCGGCUCGUGAAGUCGGGUGUGAAAGCCCGGGGCUCAACCCCGGAACGGCAUCCGAUACUGGCGGGCUUGAGACCGGGAGAGGAGGGUGGAAUACCCAGUGUAGAGGUGAAAUUCGUAGAUAUCUGGAGGAACACCGGUGGCGAAGGCGGCAUCCUGGACCGACACUGACGCUGAUGCGCGAAAGCCAGGGGAGCAAACGGG
rnacentral:rRNA from 1 species